rnacentral:rRNA from 1 species
UUCUCGGCGGGGACCCAAGUACCCCUGGUGGGUGUGCUCGGGCCCGGCCAUCCUUCUGUAAACUUUCGCGCGUCCUUCACCGGUCGGCAAAGGGAUCAGAUAAUUUACCUUGAGAAAAUUAGAGUGUUUCAGGCAGGCUUAGCCGGAAUACAUUAGCAUGGAAUAAUGGAAUAGGACUGAGGUCUCGUUGUUGGUUACGCGGACUACAGUAAUGAUUAAUAGGGACAGUUGGGGGCAUUAGUAUUUAUUAGCUAGAGGUGGAAUUCUCUAAUUUGAUAAAGACUAACUUAUGCGAAAGCAUUUGCCAAGGAUGUUUUCAUUAAUC